CCUACGGGAGGCAGCAGUGAGGAAUAUUGGUCAAUGGGCGUAAGCCUGAACCAGCCAAGUCGCGUGAGGGAUGAAGGUUCUAUGGAUCGUAAACCUCUUUUAUAAGGGAAUAAAGUGUGGGACGUGUCCUGUUUUGUAUGUACCUUAUGAAUAAGGAUCGGCUAACUCCGUGCCAGCAGCCGCGGUAAUACGGAGGAUCCGAGCGUUAUCCGGAUUUAUUGGGUUUAAAGGGUGCGUAGGCGGCCUUUUAAGUCAGCGGUGAAAGUCGGUGGCGCAACCCUAGAAUUGCCGUUGAAACUGGGAGGCUUGAGUAUGUUUGAGGCAGGCGGAAUGCGUGGUGUAGCGGUGAAAUGCUUAGAUAUCACGCAGAACCCCGAUUGCGAAGGCAGCCUGCCAAGCCAUGACUGACGCUGAUGCACGAAAGCGUGGGGAUCAAACAGGAUUAGAUACCCCUGUAGUC
rnacentral:rRNA from 1 species